GGGGCCCAUUUUAAAAUUUUGUCUCUGGGCCCACUCCAGCUUCAUUACACCCCUGGUAUAAAUGUUUUAACUCUAUAUAUCUGGCACCUGAGAAAACACUAUAAGUAUCUGAGGAGGUGGGCUGUGUAAUCGAUGGGAACUUGUGUCACAUGAAACCAGCUGGCCUUUCAGGGCCCAUAAAUCUCUUCGUUGGUUUUGAUAAUCAGGUCAACAGGGCGACUCCCUCCGGGCUUUGGAAGGCAAGGACGCCUCCGGCAACCCCUUUCCCCUUCAUCUCAAGGCAGGACUCCUUGUGGGAAGAGCUGCCCACCCUCUCUCUGCUUCCUCCUUGCCUCUACCCUGCAUUUGGCACCCUCCCUCAACCUAAGAGAAAUGAAAGAUCCCUUUUCAUCCCAACGGGAAGCUGCAAACUCUGCUUGCUCGCUCGCUCCCUCUCGCUUUCAUUUAAGACCCUGCAGGGAAUGUACUAUAACGCGAGGAAAAGGCAGGAGGACUUGGAACACCUGCCUAGGAAAGGUCGGAAAAGAGACAUGCACAGAAGAACGAGCCCCAAUGCAGGGCGCCGGGGUACUUAUGGAUGAUACCACAACUUUGAGUCUUAAAAAAAGGAGGGCACCCAGGAUCAUACCACUCCGUAACUUAAAGAAAGUGGGGUAAGAAGAGUAGCAACCAGAUGCACACUUCUAGGAGCACGGCACAUUUCUACGAGGAGAACAACCCACUCCGUCGCGACACCCUACCGUUCAGCUAGCACCAUCCUUGCCUCCACAACUUUUCUUCCGUUAAUCCAUGACGGCCAUCGGGGCUGUUCCGCCCAGCGAGCUGUUAUCGCGUUACUAAGAGGAUGAAAGGAGCAAAGCCUGGAAAAAAACGAGCCCUGAAGCAGCCUGAUUGGCUCGUCCACUUGGAAGAAGGCGGGGCUGUGGCGGGCAGGGAGCUCGGUUGCCUUGCUUCCGCGUGCACGUCCGCUGUUGUGACUGGACGACGAGAAUUGCUGGAGAGCACAGUUGGAAACGGUGGAGGGGAAAGGCAGAAAGGGCUGAGCCGGAGUUACUGCUUUUCCGGACACGGUUGUGCACUUUGCCUUCCCUUUCCUUCAGAGAAAGAGCGCAAUACUUUUUGCUUUGGGGAGGAUAAAGUGGCUAUACAAGCCUCAGCUUGAAAGUCUGGGCUCCAGUCCUGAAUCAGUGUGCCGAGCCAAAAUUUAAAUAGUGGAAGUAUACCUGACUAGGCUGUGGUGCAGCAAUGUCAAUUGCCCUUGGGAAAAGAGCGCAAUGCCCGCUUGGAGCACUUGCAGCUGCAGUUGGCUGUAUAAAUGUGUGGUUAAUGGAGAUCAUUGCUGAUUUCAUGAACUGGUUAGAUGAUGGACAUUCAUCAUUCCUCUUUUAUUUCUCCUUCAAUCAGCUGUUCUCCAGCCUCAGCAAGGAAUGUGUGCUGUCUUAUUUGAGGAGAUCUGUGUUCCCAAAUGGGAUUGAGACUCAACCAGAUAAUAAGGCUGAUGAUACCAGCAACAUUCAGCUGACUGAAAAAAAGUGUCAUUUGCUCGCUGUUGAUUUUAGGUCUGCAGGUGAUCAUGCAGAUUAAUUGGCCCAGGUUAUCCACCCCACUUUUGCAUUUGUUGUAACCCAAAAGAAUGUCUGAUCUCCUGACAUAGCUUUCGCAAAUGCAGGGUUUCUAGUUGUUAUCAAGGAAAACACAUUAGGUGUGAAUGAACUUUGAAUGCAUCCUGAUCUAUAUUUGCAAACUCUGAGUACAUUUGCAGAUUCUGUCAAAUGUGUCCAGGCAGUCUUAUAAAGAGAAAUUCAUUGGGUAACAAGUUACUGCAAGAAUAAAGAUGGGCUUGGGAUAGUUUUGUAUCCCAACAGGAAAAACUCAUCCAUGCCUGGGGUACAGAGUUACGCAAGGCAUUUUUUCAUCCGCAGAGGCCAAACCCAGGUAGGCUAACUAAGUGAAUUUGGGGGGUAUUGUGUACUGGAGUGCCACUUACAGUGUCUUAAAAAGAUAACACUGCAGAAUUAAAAACUUCUUGGUUGUUGCACAAAUAUUCAGCUGGGAUACAAAGUUACUCCACAAUAUCCAUUGAAGGUUAAGGAGACUGUGUUCUUGCCCAUCUGGCAAGUACAGGAUUCUGGGUUCUUGGGUGGGGAGUCCAAGGAUUUGGCUUAGAUUCAAAAUGAUCCUUUGAAUCGAGUUGAAUUGAACUGCUAUGUGCUGAGUCAUAAUGGGGCCCACUUGGAGCACUGAGGCUGGCUCCAAAUUGAACUGGGGCUGCUUUGCAUGGCUGUAGUUUACAUCAUCUCCUAAUGAUUGAUUUGGGCAGGAGCAAUGUAUGUGCUGUUGUUUGGAAGAGGUGUGGAGAGCU